AUUGAACGCUGGCGGCAUGCUUUACACAUGCAAGUCGAACGGUAACAGGCCGCAAGGUGCUGACGAGUGGCGAACGGGUGAGUAAUGCAUCGGAACGUGCCCAGUCGUGGGGGAUAACGCAGCGAAAGCUGUGCUAAUACCGCAUACGAUCUAUGGAUGAAAGCGGGGGACCGUAAGGCCUCGCGCGAUUGGAACGGCCGAUGUCAGAUUAGGUAGUUGGUGGGGUAAAGGCUCACCAAGCCAACGAUCUGUAGCUGGUCUGAGGGGACGACCAGCCACACUGGGACUGAGACACGGCCCAGACUCCUACGGGAGGCAGCAGUGGGGAAUUUUGGACAAUGGGCGCAAGCCUGAUCCAGCAAUGCCGCGUGCAGGAAGAAGGCCUUCGGGUUGUAAACUGCUUUUGUACGGAACGAAAAGGUUUGGGUUAAUACCCUGGGCCGAUGACGGUACCGUAAGAAUAAGCACCGGCUAACUACGUGCCAGCCGCCGCCGUAACAC
rnacentral:rRNA from 1 species